rnacentral:rRNA from 1 species
GACCAAAGGGGGCGAGCGCAAGCGGCUCCCGCUGAAGGAUGGGCCUGCGGCUGAUUAGCUAGUUGGUGGGGUAGCGGCCUACCAAGGCAACGAUCAGUAGCCGACCUGAGAGGGUGACCGGCCACACUGGGGCUGAGACACGGCCCAGACUCCUACGGGAGGCAGCAGUGGGGAAUAUUGCGCAAUGGGCGAAAGCCUGACGCAGCGACGCCGCGUGGGUGAUGAAGGCCUUCGGGUCGUAAAACCCUGUCGGGUGGAACGAAUCUCCGCCUCGCUAAUACCGAGGUGGCUUGACGGUACCACCGAAGGAAGCCCCGACUAACUACGUGCCAGCAGCCGCGGUAAUACGUAGGGGGCGAGCGUUGUUCGGAUUUACUGGGCGUAAAGAGCGCGUAGGCGGUUCGAUUAGUCGGAGGUGAAAUCCCUCGGCUUAACCGAGGACCCGCGUCCGAUACUGUCGAACUUGAGUGCAGGAGAGGAGAGCGGAAUUCCCAGUGUAGCGGUGAAAUGCGUAGAUAUUGGGAGGAACACCGGGUGGCGAAGGCGGCUCUCUGGACUGUCACUGACGCUGAGGCGCGAAAGCUAGGGGAGCAAACGGGAUUAGAUACCCCGGUAGUCCUAGCCGUAAACGAUGGGCACUAGGUGUGGGAGGUAUCGACCCCUUCCGUGCCGCAGCUAACGCAUUAAGUGCCCCGCCCUGGGGAGUACGGCCGCAAGGUUGAAACCCAAAGGAAUUGACGGGGCCUCGCACAAGCGGUGGAGCAUGUGGUUUAAUUCGACGCAAGGGAGCGCGGAGA